rnacentral:rRNA from 1 species
UGGGGAAUCUUGGACAAUGGGCGCAAGCCUGAUCCAGCCAUGCCGCGUGAAUGAUGAAGGCCUUAGGGUUGUAAAGUUCUUUCGUCGGGGACGAUAAUGACGGUACCCGAAGAAGAAGCCCCGGCUAACUUCGUGCCAGCAGCCGCGGUAAUACGAAGGGGGCUAGCGUUGUUCGGAAUUACUGGGCGUAAAGCGCGUGUAGGCGGAUUUUUAAGUCGGGGGUGAAAUCCCAGAGCUCAACUCUGGAACUGCCUUCGAUACUGGGAAUCUGGACCCAAGUAGAGGCGAGUGGAAUUGCGAGUGUAGAGGUGAAAUUCGUAGAUAUUCGCAGGAACACCAGUGGCGAAGGCGACUCGCUGGACUUGUGGUGACGCUGAGACGCGAAAGCGUGGGUAGCAAACAG